UCCACCAGCAUAGCAGCCUCCAUGAGGAAAACAUGAACAAGAUGGCUUGUUUAUCAGAAACCUCCAUCUUCGUCUAUUACUCUCGAUCUUCCAGUAUCUCCGUCUCUCGCUCUCAAUCUUUCCUCCCAUUUAUCGAGAAAGAUUCAUGAAAAUCAACAAGAAGAAUAACUUUUCUCUUUGUCCUGGUCUCUCUACCUCGAUUCAAAGUUAAAUCAUCAUCGUAAUAUCCUUUGAGUUUUGUUCAAAAUCAAUACUUCUAUUUAGCGAUUUUAGAGUUGAUUCAUUAGGUUUUGAUCUUGUUCUGAUUAAUGUUGUUUGUUUGAAGCGACGAAGAAAACCUAAAAUCCAGAACACAGAGUCCUCUUCAAACAUCAUGAUCAAUAGCUGGUGGUCGAGGAAAAUAGUCAGGUAUUUUCGUGUCAGAUGCUGCUGCAAAUACUGAUUGCACAUGCUGUUGUGGGUACUUAUUACAAAUGCUUUUCGAAUCUCUAAGGAAGGAGACUAAGAAGGAAAUAAAUUUACUGGUAAAGGACUUGAAGGUGUUUUGAGGAGAAGGUGUGCGCAUAUGACUGGACUCUUGGGGUUUGAGAACUUCAGGUUGAAGCAUACACCAAUCAAGAAUUUGAUAUACAAUUGCCAAAGCACAUUUUUCCUUCAUAAUUUUUUGUCGGGUUGUAUACAUGCAGUUAAAGGCUGAAUAGAAACUCAUGAGGUGUUUGCGCAAGUGACUUUGCUUCCUGUGAUGGAAGAGGUGUCUGGUAUUUAGAAUGCCUUCCUAAAGCGGCAUGCUGAUGAAUGCCUUCCUGUGCUGGACGUCUCACAAGAACUGGUGGCUAGGGAUUUGCAUGGGUUAGAGUGGCAUUUUCUAUGAAUUUUCUAUGAAUCCAGUCCAUCAUGGAGUCAGUAUUUUUUCCAUACUAAAUAUAUCUGGCACAACGAAAUCAGACUAUGUUUUGUUAAUCAAUCAAUCAAUCCAUUCUUUUUUUUUUUGUGUGUGUGUGUGUGUUUCAUUACAAAAGGUCAUCCGAACCGGCAUUUGUUUACCACUGGUUGGAGUAUUAAUCUGAGCUCGUAAAAGCUUGUUAUUGGAGAUACUUUUGUCUUCCUUAAGUUUUUUUCUCUUUUCUUUUCAUUGCUUCUCAUAGACAUUUACGAUGAGGCUGACCAGUAGUAAUCUGGAUUUUCUUGUUCCAACGGACUUGCUUUAGAACUUAAGUUUCAGCCAUUAAGUUUUAAGGGAUCUUUUGUGCACAUGGGCGAAAAUGGAGAACUUCGUGUGGGUGUUCGACGUGCAAUGGAGACACAAGCUUCUUCAUCCGUUAUAUCUUUUUGCAGCAUACAACUUGGUGUACUUGCCACUGCAUCUCACGUUAUAUCUACUGGGACCAUGCUUAGUGUAUAUUACCGUCCUAGGAUGAGUCCGUCCGAGUUCCUAAUUCCAUACGAUAAAUACAUGAGCUCAGUUAGGAAUAAAUAUUCCAUUGGAGCGAGGUUCAGAAUGAAGUUUGAGGGAGAAGAAGGCCCUAAACAAAGAAUUGUAGAUACAAUAGUUGGAAUUGACGAUGUUGAUCCGGUCAGGUGGCCUAGAUCGGAAUGGAGAUGUCUCCCAUUGCCAUCCUAAAAGAGUUUCUCCUUGGACAAUUGAAUUAUCUGACAAUGCAAGGACCAAUUCUAUUCCAGUACAACUGAGAACGGCAAGAAGGGUCCGAAUCUCCUCAUCUGCUGAUUCAUCUAUCUUGGAUGAUGGUUAGUUUUCAAUGUCUGUCUUCUUUACUUCACAAAUAUCUCUUGGAAGUAACUUAAUUAAACCCAUUUUUGGGGUCCCUUGCAUUCCUGAAAAUAGUAUUAGGAACUUCUUGCUAAUUAGACCUGAAAGUGCUACUUUUAAGGUUAUCAGGGAUGUAUCUUCUGAUGUUAUUAUUGAUGAGGAAAAUCUGAGAGUCCCUUUCAAAGUUUUUCCUGAAA